rnacentral:rRNA from 1 species
GACGAACGCUGGCGGCGUGCUUAACACAUGCAAGUCGAACGAAGUGGCGAACGGGUGAGUAAUACGUGAGUAACCUGCCCUCCUUUUUGGGAUAAGCCUUGGAAACGGGGUCUAAUACCGAAUACAGGGGGUUGGGCUCGAGGCCUAUCAGCUUGGUGGUGGGGUGAUGGCCUACCAAGGCGGUGACGGGUAGCCGGCCUGGGGGGGUGACCGUGCACAUUGGGAAUGGGAUACGCCCCAGACUCCUACGGGAGGCAGCAGUGGGGGAUAUUGAACAAUGGGCGAAAGCCUGAUGCAGCGGCGUCGCGUGGGGGAUGAAGGCUUUCGGGUUGUAAACCUCUUUCGCGAUCGAACGGUUAAGUGCAGAAGAAGCGCCGGCUAACUACGUGCCAGCAGCCGCGGUAAUUC